rnacentral:misc_RNA from 1 species
UACAGAGGGAGCGAGCGUUGUUCGGAUUUACUGGGCGUAAAGGGCGCGCAGGCGGGUCGAUAAGUCAAACGUGAAAACUGGCGGCUCAACCACCAGAUUGCAUUUGAAACUGUCGACCUUGAGUCCAGGAGAGGAGAGCGGAAUCCUAGGUGUAGCGGUGAAAUGCGUAGAUAUCUAGGAGAACACCGGUGGCGAAGGCGGCUCUCUGGUCUGGUACUGACGCUGAGGCGCGAAAGCUAGGGGAGCAAACAGG